rnacentral:rRNA from 1 species
CGGAACGAGUAGAGUGGCGCACGGGUGAGUAACACGUGGACAACCUGCCCUGGAGUCCGGGAUAACACUUCGAAAGGGGUGCUAAUACCGGAUAAGCCCACGCUCCCUUCGGGGAAAGUGGGAAAAGAUUUAUUGCUUCAGGAUGGGUCCGCGGUCCAUUAGCUAGUUGGUGGGGUAACGGCCUACCAAGGCUGCGAUGGAUAGCUGGUCUGAGAGGAUGAUCAGCCACACUGGAACUGAGACACGGUCCAGACUCCUACGGGAGGCAGCAGUGGGGAAUUUUGCGCAAUGGGGGCAACCCUGACGCAGCAACGCCGCGUGGAGGAUGAAGGCCUUUGGGUCGUAAACUCCUGUCAGAGGGGAAGAAAUACUCGCAAGAGUGCUGACGGUACCCUCAAAGGAAGCACCGGCUAACUCCGUGCCAGCAGCCGCGGUAAUACGGAGAGUGCAAGCGUUGUUCGGAAUUAUUGGGCGUAAAGAGCAUGUAGGCGGACUGAUAAGUCUGGUGUGAAAGCCCGGGGCUCAACCCCGGAAGUGCAUUGGAUACUGUCAGUCUUGAGUAUGGGAGAGGAAAGCGGAAUUCCGAGUGUAGGAGUGAAAUCCGUAGAUAU